GGAGAGUUUGAUCCUGGCUCAGGACGAACGCUGGCGGCGUGCUUAAUACAUGCAAGUCGAGCGGACCGAGCGGCGCGUUGCUGGUUUCCAGCGACAAGCUGCAAAGGUUAGCGGCGAACGGGUGAGUAACACGUGGGUAAUCUGCCCCCAAGACCGGGAUAACAGAGCGAAAGCGCUGCUAAUACCGGAUGACCUCUCUUUAUCGCAUGGUGGAGGGAGCAAAGCGUAAGCGCUUGGGGAUGAGCCCGCGUUCCAUUAGCUAGUUGGUGAGGUAACGGCUCACCAAGGCGACGAUGGAUAGCCGGCCUGA
rnacentral:rRNA from 1 species